AGCUCCAGGGCUGGAUGGAUUUCCAGUUGACUUCUAUGAAAGAGUAGGCUCUCUUCUUUCAUCUGGAAAAAAAAGUUUCCGUUCACUAGUAAUCGGCAUUAGAACAUACACCCCUUAUUUUAACAACCCAACUGCCGGGUUAUGAAAUGUUUAACCCAUUAUGGGUUAUUUAUAUAGGAUAUGGGUCACGUUUGUGCAACUCAUGUGGUGGGUCAAAAUCCAUCAACCCAACAUACAUCGGUUAACUCAGCACCUGGGUUGUUUGUGCUUCGAACGUCAUCACGUGGACAGAAGGUUCACACACCAAGCACCAAGCGCUCACGCGAAUCAGAACCUGACUCAGCAUCGUCGUCGUCGUGAAGCAGAUAAUAAAAGAUCAAUGGACAGCUUUGUCAUCAAUACUUUGACAUAGUGGCAACUGACAGACCUUAUAGAAAGAUUCCAAGAAGAGGAUUGAUGAGGAAAGUUUUCUUCUUUUAGAUGAGGCCACCAUCAAAGAGCUGAUCACAAGCUGGUCCUAGGCUCAAGUUUCUCAAGAAGUUUCUCAAGAAGGAUCAAUUCUUCAGUUGUCCGGGAGUGAAAACUGGUCAAGUUCCUCCAAACAAGAGUACUUGCAUGCAAGGAGCAUGUUUAGGUGUUUACUGAUACUCAUUUGAACUGUUCCAUGCA